rnacentral:lncRNA from 1 species
UCAUCUCCUGCACCCCACCUCGUCUCUCCCGAUCCCAUCUCUCUUCCGCUUCCGGCCGGCCUACGGGCGGAGGAACCGAUGUGGGUGGCCUGCGAGAUCGCGCGCCUGCCGCAGGAGCUUGUCUCGGCGGCGCUGGCCCGCACGUCCUCGCGCGAAGCCUACCCCACGGCCGCCGUCUCCCCGGCCUUACGCGCCGUGGCCGACUCCGACGAUGUCUGGGCGGGCUUCCUGUCCCCCAACGGCUUCCUGCCGCUCGUCGACGGUGAGCCGCCGGGCCCCGCCCCUACCUUGUCCAAGAAGGUCCUCAUCUCCUGCACCCCACCUCAUCGCUCCCGAUCUCAUCUCUCUCUCCGCUUCCGGCCGGCCGACGGGCGGAGGAACUGAUGUGGGUGGCCUGCGAGAUCGCGCGCCUGCCGGAGGAGCUUGUCUCGGCGGAGCUAGCCCGCACGUCCCCGCGUGACGCCUACCCCCCGAAGGGAUAGUUUGGAUCAAUCCGUGUUCUUAUUUGGAACUGAAAGCAGCUGAAUACUUUUGGUGUAUACUAGGUAGGAAAUCAUGUUUCUGAUAAGUUCUCUUGUUUUCUUAUUUAGUUUAUUUACCCUGGAUUAGUUCGCUUAUUCUCUGAUAAUGCUUUUGGUUCAGAUUCUUGUACGGUAGAAGAUCUUGUUUAAGGAAAUAUAGUUGUUACACAUGACUGUAGCUUGAUUUCUGACGAAACAUUGCUUUUGUGAUCAAAUGUCAUCUUUGUUCCUGCAUAACCUGUAAUCUGCACAUGUUCUGCAAGAAUCAUAACGUUGCAAAUAGAAUUGCUUUAGUCUUGGAAUGGCAAUUUAGCGAAUACAAUAUUCUUAUGUUGUUCAUAAGUCCUUCUUUGUACUGAUGGCUGCGUACACAGUUUUUGGAAUCAGGCAAACAUGACGAGCAUGCACGAGCCCUGGACUCGACUUUCCCACAGUAAGAAGUUACCAGGAUGGGUGGGGUACAAUCCAAAGACCAUGAGGCCUCCACCAUUGAGCGGCGACACCAAGCAGAUGAAGAUUCUAUCCUGGAAUGUCAAUGGGCUGAGCAAUAUUGUACAGUCAGGAGGUUUCUCUACUGCGUUGGCUCAGAGGGAGAAUUUUGAUGUGUUGUGUCUUCAAGAGACACAUUUGAAGG